rnacentral:lncRNA from 1 species
GCUGCACCUGCAGCAUAUGGAAGUUCCCUGGCUAGGGGUCAAACGGGAGCUGUAGCCGUCACAGCCACAGCAACACAGGAUCCGAGCCACAUCUACGACCUGCACCAUAGCUCACCGUAAUGCUGGAUCCUUAACCCAUUGAGCGAGGCCAGGGAUCAAACCCACAUCCUCAUGGAUACUAGCUGGAUUCCUAACCUGAUGAGCCACAACAGGAAUUCCCCUAAGAGGUAUUUGGUAAACAAAUACUCCCUUCUCUCUGUACCGAGGGGUGCGGCAGUGCCCUCCGGGGCUUCUCCAGGAUGCCGGGAAUGGCACAGGUCAGCUGCCAAGACUCACCCUGCAGUGCCCCGAGCCAUGUUUUAUAGGGGCCACUUUGUAUGGUGUCAGUACAGUGUGGAUAUUUACCGCACUUGGAAAGCAGCCGUUUAUUUGAGCUAGAGGAAAGGAACAUUCUAGAUCUCCUGUCUCCUCACCCUGCUUAUUGUUAGAUGCAGGAUAUGUUUGUAGGUCAUCAGGCUCAGCUAAGCUAUGUAACCUGCUCUCUUUCGCAGCCAAAAUCUAUUCCUGAGAAACAUGGAAAACGCAUUCCAGAUGAAGGCGAGAAAACCUCUAACAGCUCUUUACCUGGGGAGCAUUAAAACCCAGAGGCCAACAGUUGCAAAGUCUUAUCUCUGGGUUGUGAGCUCUCAGUCAAGUUCAUUCAGGGAGUCCCUAUCCUGGGCCAGACCACCCUCCCACGUGGUAAGGAGGGGGCCUGCCUUUGUGGCUUUCACAGCCUAAUUGUAGAUCUAACUUUAAGGCAUUUGAACAGCACCCAAUGCUUGUAAAAAUUCAUCUCCACUUCCAAAUAAUUAUUUCAGUGACAUGCAGAUUCAAUCACUUCGUCCACUAAAAGGAACCUUCUUUCAUCUGAACUUUGGGAACCAGAUAACACCCACAUAGUACAUUUUUUUUUUCAACACUAUGUGUGGUUGUCAUAUUUCAGGGUAAAGCUGCCCCUCCUGGAUGUCAGGGUGUUUUGUGAGUUGUUUUUAAUAGGAUUUUGUUCUACUUUCUAUACCAGCCUAUCUUGUUAAAAUCAUCUGAGGAGGGUGAAUAUUUUAGGAUUCAAAGCCCACCAAAUAAACCUGCUCAGAAGUGGGCUUAUGUGGUCAGCCUUGAGAAAAAUAAAUGAGUGUUUCUCAGAUAUCUGCUGAGAAUUACCCAGUAACCAGGGUUUCUUUUUAUGCAGUGGAAAGAAUGCAUAUUUUUCUUCCAGAAACUCUGGUUUGUACUUUUUUUCAUUUAAAAGAAUAACAUGCCUGUGAGGUUGUGUUUCUAAAACUUUCUUCCUUUGCAUUUUUCCUCUCCUACUCAAACCCCUUAUUUCCUCCUGCUUCUCUAAACAGAAUGGGGGCCUGGGGCCAAGAGGGUGAUGCAGGAAUCAGAGAAAGGGGGUGGCGGCUUUGCAGUGCCUGGUUAAGAGCGGGGAGCUGCCGUUCUACCCACGCUCACCGCUAGGGGGCGAUGUCCCUGCUGGAAACUUGCCGGUUCCAAGGGCCGAUCCCAGGGCGCUGGCUCCACCUACUGCAGCUCUGGGGCAUUGCUCUUGUGUAAAUCAAGGACUUGGGGAAUCUGAGAAAGAAGGCAGGAGGGGAAAGAAAGUUAGCGAUGGACGCGGAACUCGAACACACCUCUCCUGGGAUACAUGGUGACACUUUGCCUUUCUCUGCUGCUGAGCUUGGAGCCCCCAGUGGUCCUUAGCCUUCCUGUCUUUUCUGCAUCUGCUUUGGUGAAGGCCCCAGAGAUUUGGGGGCCUCCGCCGUGAGGUGGAGGUGUCCUGCUACUGCUGGGCCCACCCAGGGUGAGUUCACUGGAGGAGGCGCCCCCUCCCCAACAAGGGUUCUAGAAGUCAGGUCCCCUCUGCUUGGUUUGGAUAAGAGAGUCUACCUGGAGACUGUCACCUGUGGAAUUUCAGAUGUAAAGGAACUGUUCGGGGGAUGCAGAUCAUUGCAUGGGGUGUGUGUGUGGGCGGGGGUGGGGGGGUGGUGGCCGUGAGUGGAUAUUUGGAUUGACCAUGAAAGCAGAUAGAUCUGACCCUCCCGGAGUUCACACUCAUGACACGCUACAUAAUUUGCGGGCUGAGUGCAAAGUGAAAAUGUGAGUCCCGUGUUCAAAAUUAUGAAGACUUUCGAGGUGAUGACGGCAGAGGAUUAGACCAGGAACCGGCCCUCGUAAGCACUGGGUCCCGCGUGUGACUGCGCAGGUCAGAUGCCCGUGAACCCCGCCUUGGUCACAUUGUGUUUUUAGUUGGUGUUCUAGGCAGAUGGGGCUUCAUCUUUUGCUUCUUCCUUUGUAAAGUCUCCCUGGCAGGGUGCAGAGAGGUGGGCCGAUGAAUUUUUCAAAAUGUGUGCUUGUUAAAGCGCCAACGGUCUGGACCCGUCAGAGGGUAGGGGGCCCAAACCCCUCGUUGACAGAUGCGUGGCCAGGGCGUGCUGCAGAGGGGCCCGCGGGCCUUGACCGUUUCACCCAAUGACUUGAAAUCAAACCCUUCCUUUUGGUCAUUAGUCAUCCACUGGGGGCUUUUCUUCUCUGAGCUGCUAGGACAGGGAGGCUUUUCCCCGUAAUUUACUAGGUAAUGGAGCGCGGGUGGAGCGGUGCUCAGUGCUCCUUCCCCGGGAGCCGGGUUGGACGCCGUUUCUCCAUCUCCGAUCCCUCGAAAGGGGACCGCCGGCUGCCUCCCUGCCGCUGCCUUGGCGCCCAGGUGGCAGGAGGGCUCCUGCUUCUGGGAGGCAGAGGCUUCCCAGCUGGGUUCUCCCCGUAGGAUAUCCGUGGCUUUGGAGCAGGGGGAUGUGAGGAGAGAGGAAAGAUCCCACUACCACGGGCCGUGGGGCGUGGCGGGGGUGGGGUGGGGUGGGGCAGCUGACCUUGGAGUUGCCCCUCCUGCCGUGCACUUGCAGUUGCUUUCUUUCGGUAGCAUUUCCUAGACCUUGGCUGGACCCUCCCAAACCUUUGCAAUUCUGCUCGGUCUUUGCUAGUCAAUUUCACGUCUAUGCACACAGAGCAAUAAUCCCAUCUAUGUUUCUAGAUUCAGUCUGGGAUUAUAAAGUUUACGAGGUAAAAACAUUCAGGCAGUGGAACAGAAAUGUCAAAUUCAUCUCCUGUGGAUUUGACAGUGUCACUUUGACUGAGAUGGCAAACCCUAGCCUUGUUUCUACGGGUAAGGCAAUCACGCAAACUACUGAACUUUCAGAAAGCAUUUUCUAGAGGCGUUGAAUUAAUAUUGUGUCAGUGUUUGUUUUCCUGAAUGAAUCUUUUGACUUACGUUUUACAAAUCAACGCCCUUCAGAUAUCAUCUGCUAAGGAGUCACAAUAUGGAAAGUAGAUAUUCUAGCAAGAUCUUUGGUAAUAGUACUUAUUUUAACACAUGCAUUUAGGACAUACAUUGCCAAGAGCCCAAGUGUCUUUGAACCAUAAAACCAACCUCAAAUCUUGUCUGCUGAAGCCCAGCAAGGUCUGUACCCUUCUGCUCCCCUUCUUCAGAGCCUACCUGGAUGGAGAAGUUGGCGGCCACAUCAUUCAUGUCCUAUUGCCUUAGCUAAAUCAGCUUUCUUAUCCUCACAGAAGUAGGCGGUCAACAUAAUGUGUAAAUACAUGUAUACAGAUGAGAAUCUGCGGCGAAAACAUCCUAUGUAUGAUAAUCAGUUCUCAGCUUCUGGUUUUCUGCAUUUUCUACAGUUUCCAGCUAAGAAUAGUGCAGAAUUCCACUACAUAAAGUGAAAAAGUUAUGCUCUGUAGAUGGUUUGUCCAGAAAUCCCUGCUGUAUGUUUAUGGGAAUGUCCAUGACUCAAUGUACAUAUGGUGUGUAAGAGGUUAUGAUGUUAAAUGUUGCAUAAACUAACAGAUUCUGUAGUUAUAAAUAUUUAACUUGUUAUUGUAAACUGUGACGUCAUUGAGAGAUUAUUUUUCUGUAUGUAUAUGAGAGUAUUUUAGGAAUCUAAUUUAAGUGCAUAAAACUAUAGAAAAGAAAAUUUAAAAACCUAUGCCAGGAGUAGGAAAAUACUUAAUCAGAUUACUUGGGUUUGACCCAACUAAAUUUCUUAUAUGAAAAAGAAAAUCUGAGUGGCAUAUGUUAGGAAAUCAAAGAAGUCAUUUUGGGGGGGCAUAGAAUGUGAUACAUUUAAAUGAAAUGGGUGGUGUGGUGAUAAAAUGAUAAGUAUCCUCUAGCCAUGACCUUGAAGGAGACCCCGGUGUUUCAUUAAACAGGUUACAUAUUCAGGAGGGUGGUAAGUUCAGGAAAGACUGGAGGAUUGAGAGCCUGUUUCCCAUCAGAUCCAUAUGAUGUGCCCAGAAGCUUCUGUGGGUUCUGGCGGGUCAGUCAGGACUCUGGGGUGGACCCAACCAUCCUUCUAGAGAGUUCCGAACAUGGGAGGGAGGCCACCCCUUGACCUCCCGGUCACCCUUAGCAGUUCUCUUUCUGGGUAGAUUCAGAACAUCUCUUUGGUGUUUGCAUUCUCCAUGAAAUUUCCUGGGGGACCCUCACUGCCUUUGCCUGGGGCAUGGCUGGGUGGCUCGAAGGAGGGAUUUCAGGGCUUUCUGGGCUUAGCUGUUUCUGGCAUGUAGAGUAGGCAGCACAGAGCAGCCUCCUAGCUGCCUGUGUCCCUGGGGCAAGAGACCUUCCUCCUGUCCCCCUUCCCAGAAAGGGUCAGAGGUUCAGGCUGCAUCUAGGGCAUGGCUUUCUAUCCUUUGGCACCAGAAAUGUCCCCACCGGCCACCUAGGGAGGGAUGGAAUGCAAAAUCCCGUGAACCUCAAGGUCUGAGGCCCCCCCCCUCCCCCCCUUCCCCCCCCCCCCCCCCCCCCGCGCCAAGAGCUGCAUUCAGAAGGCAUUUUGGGAGCUGGCAACCCCGCGACUCCAGCCUCCGCUAACAGGCUGGGAGUGAUGCAUCAGUGACUAGAGCCGGUUCCUGGUGAACUGGGCAUGUUGACUGUGGAUCAUGGUUGUGAAAGUUGAGGGCUGCAGCUUGAAAGGACACAUGGGGAGUGUGUGCUGUAGGUUUCCACCUUUUCCCUCGACAAGCUAUAUGCUUCCUCCUGAGUCAGCCAACAGUCAAGGUCCCUUUUUGAUACGCCUGAAAUUGGCAAAAUGCUAGAGUCCAAGUGACUUCCUGGAUGUCAGGGGGAGUGGGGAGCUGUGAUUUCUGGAAACUUCCUGGAAUCUAUUGUCAUACAAGGAAUCAGCAAAUCACCUUGAGGAACUGUCUGUGUGGAUGCAACUGACUUUAUUCCCAAACACGGGGACAUUUAGAGAUCUCCUUGUUCACCGUGCCCUGGGAAGCCUCCUUGAGCCAGCCAGCUGACGUGGACAGCUCUGGUCCACCCACCCAGAACAGGUCAUGACCCGUCCUCCUUAGCGCCAUACUCACUUUUGCGGCUGGUGUGGCCGUAGGGCUGUAAGUGGGAAUGAUUCAGCCGGUCAACUGCCUCCUGGAUCCUGGUUAUUCCAAGAAAGUCUGGGGUCAAGAAAAGCCAGGGAAUAUGGGGUCCUGCCCCAGCAGUGCUUGCAAGCUAUGCCAGUCAGCCUUUGCCUGUUUGGGAAAGAAUGUAUCAAUCCUGACAUGAGUCCCUUGUGUUUCCAGUGACAACUGGGUCACCGUGCUGGUGGCACAUGGCUGCCCUCACAGCCCUGCCCAAGGGUAGGACUAAGCUACCCUCGAUGAAUGUUCUGUUGACUGUAAUAUACUUCGGUUGCCAAAUAACAGUACUGUUUAAUUUCCCAUAAGAGGGAAACUAUAUUGUUUGAUGUGUAAUGUCAAUGGAGUUUCUAAAAAUUACUAGACACUAUUAUCAAUUGUAGAAUUAUGUAUUUGUCUAAGGUUUGAUGAAGCAGGGCCAAAACAUUAGGUUUCUUCUUUGUUUCAAGGAAGCUGAGGUUAGUUUUGCUGUUUGAGCGUUCCUUUGGCACCUUAUUAUGUAUGACAUGUUAAAUUUUACCAAUCAAGAUUAUAACUGAGGUUUUUUUUUUUUUAAAUUUAAACCAGUAGCAACAUCAGUACAGAUUGCUAUUCCUGUGUAUCUUGACUCUAAAAAGAACAAUCUCUUCCAAACAAUUCUUUGGUCAUUUGGACCUGUACGGUUUAAAUUCACAUAGUUCAUGAAU